GCUUAAUGCUCUCUCUGUAUCUGAACACCUCAGUGUUUUAGCUGUUUAAUUAGUAUGGUUACCAUGGAAUUCUAACUUUGGUUAUACCAUGAACUAUUCUACAGUUUCAGUUAUCUACCUUUCCUUUCCUCCUUCGCUUUGCCUUGAACACCAGAAUAGCUGUGAUGUUGGAAUAGUAAUGCUUUCUUACUGCCUGUUUAUAGUAUCCAUACCAGAGAUAUCUCAUGUGAUGCUCAAGAACCGGCUAUGCCGUAAAAUUUAUUCUCAUUGACAUCACAGAAAAUUCAUAGAACUGUAUAUUUACAGGAGUAAAAACUGAAAACCACAUAAUGGUGAUGCAAGAAUAUGCCUUGUUCGGUUGUUCAACCUGUGCUUGAGGACAGUCAACAUACCAGUUUGAGGGAGUAACUAUGAGCUGCAGAUUGUAUGCAUGUCUAUCAACAGAGUGGCAAAUGUAAGAAUAAAAGCAGCUCAAAAGUUUUAUGUCAGAUAGUCAUCGGCGUGACUAUAGAGCGAGUGACAACGCCAAACAGAAGGCUACUCCACGAGAAGUCCAAGUGCUACUGAAGCUCAGUUUUGCUGCUAUUGAUGAAGCUGGUGGCGACAAGGCAUGAGGAUGAUGUGGGAGGAGACGAGGGCUGGUAGCGGAUGAUGCAGAUGAAGGUUUGCUAGACGCAGCUGGUGGAUUUGCUGGAGCAAGUGUCCGAUUAUGAGGAGCUGAAUUAAAAUUUGAUCAAAAAAAUCACUCCAGAUAAUCCAAGCUGCACAUUUAAAUUAACGUAUAGACAUUAAGGAUUUUAUUUUGUGAAUACCUGCUACAGAGGGAGAGGGGGAUUCAGUUGGCGGACGAGGACCCAUUAUGUCAGAUGUAUCAUCGCCAGAUUCAGGAGCUACACAAGAUUGAAUCAAUGCUUAAGAUUUUUAACAUGAAUCGUAUUAUUGAUUGUCAACUGCCAAGCUUAAUUAGAUUUACCAGGAUGAGGUGAAGUCGGCACUCCUAAUGAACCCUUCAAGCUUGGAACAGAAGGAGGCACAGCUGCAUAAGAAGUAACACACGGGAACGGGAGUUUCGUCUAUCAAUCGCCAUGAAAGGAAUCGGAAAUCCAUAUCUACAGCUCAAUCGAUUAUGCCUGAUUAUAAGUAUAAUCGUCUGAGUCUAACAAUGGAUCAUCACUUCUAAUUACGAUCAUCGCUGAUAUUAUGAUCACUGACAAGCACUAAAUAGUUCUACUACUCAAUUGAUUCCCCUGUAACAUUCUGCAAGAUUCACGCUAAGCGCACAAAAGAUCCGUAGAUAGAUUGAUUUCCCUUUCUCGAUCGUCCUUGAGAGGAUCAAGAUUUUGCAAAAUCUAACUGAUCAUGAUGGCGAUAUUUUCAGAUCUGGUUUCCGUUUCAAGAACUCAAUUAAAAGAAGGUCGGCGGCGGAGAACAAACCUGUACAGAUCGACUUCAUGGAACCGAAAUUCUUCAUGGAUGAGCUGGCGUUCUUGCUCCAGUGGGAACAGAGAGAAGGAAGGGACGCGAUUCUGGUUCGAUUGAGCGGGAACCCGGACAGCAACGGCUGCUUCAUCAGGUGACAGAAGCAGUUGCUUCCGCCGGAAGUGAACGCCUCCGAUACGACUCGGCAGCACUGACGGUUGACUCUGUAAUGAACUUUGUUAGGUCGCACCGAAACGUAGGCGAAGCAGGGGGAGAAAGCAGCCAGGUCGGCGACGCAGUCAUCCGAUGGCGGUGACGGGGGCGAUGGAGAGGCGACAGCGGUGAGGAAGAGUACGACGGUGAGGAUUAACGCAAAAACGAGUGACAUUGUGCCUGAGAGAGAUUGAAAGAGGAGAGAGUGCGGAGUUGUAUUUCCGGUGAGGAGCGACUGUUAGCAAUAUUGGCUGCCACCGUCUGGAUGGUUUGUUACAGAGCGAGAAUAGAGGGCGGGAAACACAUAGUCGGUUAGACGGAGCCGUUUAUUACUAAAUACUGACCAAGAAAGCUCUUUUAAAUCUUUACUGGCCGGCCCAUUAACAACAACCGAAAAGAAACCAAAACCGAAUCGAGCUGGGUAAAAUCAAAUCACCCUGCCAGCUCAAGCUCAACUACCACAGAAAAUAAAGGUAAUCACAAUCGAAUUUAAUUAUUUAGGCCUCUAGUCAAUCUUCUAAACUACAGUUCACGCCAUGCCCACAUCACAUCAAGCUACACAAUCUUACUCCAGAAAAGGUGAUACACCUCUUCAAUGGGGGACUUGCUUGGUCUCCGGAAGCAGAAAGUAGACGAAAGCGGACAUGUGGGAGGGACUCACCGGAGACGCGCGAGAUCAUAACCGAAAAGGGAUCCUCCAAGAGCACCAAUGAUGCAGCCCUCUUUAUUUUGUGUUCGUAGAGAUGAGCCCUCUUGAGUUUUCCCCCGGAUUCUGUGAAUCCACCCCCGGCCAUUGUUCUGAUAUGAUUGUUAUAAGGGGACGGUGGUGGUGUCCAACGAUCACUUCAAUUCUGCUUAAUUACUGUAUUUUCUGUUGUUGGUAGGUGGAGUUCUGAUAAGGAAGUGGGUAAUGGGUUAAAAUUUCAUGUUGUUUGGAACAGAUGGGGAUUCUCUGAGAGAAAAUAUAUAGUGAAGCUUUAGUUCUCAGAUUCAGAGAAAUUACACUGCCUUGUUGAGAACUUUGCAGCACGAGCUGUUGAUCGAGAAGGGAUCAUUCGAGGGCUUUAGACACGGUCCGAGGUCCAUCCCCUGGAUUGUGCAUCCUUGGAUUGGUGCACUAGUCACUGUUGAAGUUAGAAGAUAGAGCAUUGUACAAGAUAGUACCAAACUGUAAGGACCCUUUUUGGUAGAACACACCCUCGGUAUAAAGAUCUUUAAGGAAAGUAAAGGGUGUGGUUAAUUUCCUUAAAGAUCUUUAUACCGAGAGUCUUUGAUGCGACAAAAUGGAUAGUUCGGUUACAUUGUUGUAGGGGCGAAAUCAUACGGAAUUUUAUGAUGAUUCAUCAUAGUCGUAAUUAUGUCUUCAUAGACCUUGUUGCCAAUCUACGAUUUGAUGCAAAUUUCAAUUACUUAUCCUAAAGAACUCCGGAGUAGGAAACUAAUUGGUCGUCCACACCAUUGAGACUUGUGGUUACGUUAAUUUAAGUGCAAUCAUCUAGUGAACGAAUCUACUGUAUAUAUAUCGAAACUUGAAUAUUCACCUAAUCACCUUUAACCCUUUUUCCUCCACCAAGUUUCUUGUUCACCUAACUUAACUUAUCAUAGUGGGAGCAUUCUCUGUUAGGUUAUGCAGAGUAGGUCAACCAUUGGCGUGUACAAGUCCAACUAUGGUAUUCAAUAAAAGAUAAAAAUAACUAACAAUAAUUAACUAUAUUAUUAAUCCAAUAUGUUACAGCAAUAAAUAAUCACCACGGUUCACAUAAAUAACCACCUCGUUGGAAAACAAUCAAACACAAUUCCCACAAAUCCAAAAGAAUACUUGUCAACCAAAAUGCUGCAGAAGUGUGAAAAGCAAAACCCAGAAGCCAUUGGAGGAAACUAGUUGAAAUUGUAGAUCAUCAAUCCCAGUAGAAACAGCAUGAGAAGUGGAGAAAAGCUGUAAGAGACUGCUGAUGAUGUGUUAGUAGUUGGGCUGCUUCCAGUAGCAGUUGAUGUUGGAUUCAAAGCUGGAGUGGUUGGAGUUGUACCAUCAGACGGUGUCUCAGGAACAGCAGAACCUGUUCCAGCAAACAAAACAUUAAUAAAUUGGGAAAGGAGAAACCUUUAGCUACGUACCCAGAAAAAGUAAUAAUCUUUUGAGUUAACAAAGAAUGAAAUCUCACUUGCAGGGGUAUCUGACUGAGAAACUCCUGGAGCUAGAGAUGGUGCUAGUGGUGCUGCUGGACCUGCACAAAGUUUGAGAAAUUACAGAUUGGAUCAGCCUGAAAUUUUAUUUUGGCUAAAGUUUUUUAGAAGGUUCAAAAUCUAAGUGAUGGAAUGGAUUGUACCUGGAGCAGGAGCUGGAGCACCUGUAGCAGCUGCAAAGGAAAUCAUGAAGGAAAGUGUGAAGUCCUGAUCACUUGAGGAAAACAUAGAUGAAACAGCAUUUCCUAAAUCUAAUGAAUUAACUUUUACCUUUGCAUUGGAGAGGGACACCGGGCAUGUUACAUGCGCGAGGGAGGGAGAUGGCUAAGGUUCUGUUGAUGGGAAUCUGGAAAGGUAGGGCUCCAGUGAUAGCAAGGCAAAGGCAGUCUGUGGAGGUGGAAGUCAGGUUCUUAAGCGAACUGCAACAGUCAGCAGGUGGGGUGGUGCCAUUGUUAGUGAGGAAACUCAUGCAAGGGCUGAGUCCAGCAAUUGCCGAUGCAGAGCAAGCUGGGGUGGUUGGGGUUGGGGUUAUGGUCUGGCCUGAAACCAGCAACACCAUUAAUGAAGCAGCCAUGGAAAGAAGAAGCAGAGCCAUGUUGGGAUUAUUGAAAGAUGCCAUCUUUGGUUUGGUUGGGUUGUGAUUGGUGAUUGGCUGAAGAGUUUGUAUGUGAUUGGAUGGACGAGAAUGGAGUUAUGGAGAAGGGGAAUUUAUAGAAUGGUGGUGGAAGGGAAAUGGAGGGAAAAGGAGAAUAAAAGGGGUUGAGAGUUUGGUUUUGAAGCUCAACUACUUUUAACUAACUUUGUUAUUUGUGUUGGUGCGUGUCAGUCACUAGCGGGGUUGAUCCAACUUGAUUAACUUGUAAAUUUAAAAUUAAGAAGAUCGGCCUUACAAGCAACUUAUUCAACUGCUCACCAGUACACAGUUUUGGAAGUAACAUAAACCGUUGGACUUAAGAGAUUAUGUUGCAGAAUGACUGAGCAGAGUGCACUCACUAGACAACCGCUAAACAAAAUAAAACGACGAUGAUGACUUUGUUGCAAUCGCUGCAGCAAUGGUGACCCUCCCGUUAACAACUAAUAAGUAAUUUCAAAACACAAUAAUUAACGUGAUUUUCGACCGUGAGAUCGACUACUAAAUGCGGGAAAAGAAAUUUUAUCCUUAUUUGAGAGAAUAGGAAAAGAGGAAGACAGAGUUUGUAUAUACAUGCUCGGGGCCGAACUGUUUUACCAAUACAAUGUAUAUUUACUUAAAAUACCCUAAUCAUAAUAUACUCGCAUGCAUCCCAGAAGGUGACGGGGAAUUGGCUGGCUAACCUGAAUCCACGAUUCAUCAAAGUUGAUGCCGAACCAACUGAAAUCGUCAUACUUGAACAUCAAACACCAUUCACCGAUGCCGGAGCCCAUAGAGACGAAGUACAGAAACAAUGAUCGGUCGAUAAGUUGAUAGACAACUUUCUGUCCUUCCAUAGCAGCACUGUAAUUAGCAACUCUUUACCAGGACAUACAGUAGGCCGGCUAACCAGUUUCGAGAUGGCAGAGAUCCCAGGGUGGCGACGUAGGCAACCUGUGAUCACUCAACGAGUUGAUGAAAAUACAACCAAUUUCCCCCAAAAAAAAGGGUUGACUUCUCAAUUCAUAUUUGGCCUUUGCUCUAUCCAUAACCGUUAGAGGUGGGUAAGCCACAAAAGAUAGCCGCCCUUCCAAUCGGACUUGACCCUCAACCACAAUCUCCAUAUGUCUUGUCCGUAGCAAUCCAAAGUUUGUAACUUUGGACCUUUCCCAUCGUAUCAAUUCCUAUACGAUCGGAACUUAGUACCAAGAAAAGAAAACAACAAAAGGAACAACCGCUGACUCGUUCUUCCCUCCAUCAACUCACUAUAUAUAGACAACCCCCUAUUUUUCAAAUCAUCCCCUCAUCACUCCCACCAAAAGCAAUCAUCGCCUAAAAGAAAAGAAAAAAGAUUUCCAGUUGUUGCAAGGAGGAAAUUUUUAUCUUCUAUUCCUCUAAUUGAGUUCUUUCCUAAGCAAUGGCGGGAAGAAGCAUUGCAUUGAGUUUGGGCAUUCUGUUGCUUACCAUGCAGUUGUGGAUGAUGGUCAUGGCUCAGUCUGAUUGUUCCACCGUGCUACUUACCUUAUCUCCCUGCCUGGAUUACAUGUCCAGUAAAUCGCCGACUCCCUCGCAGCAAUGCUGCAGCCAGUUCGAGUCGGUGGUUCGUUCUGCUCCAAUGUGCCUGUGUCAGGUUCUUGAAGGCGGCGGUUCUUCAUUUGGCGUCGAGCUCAACCAAACUCGUGCCUUGGAAUUACCUGCUGCUUGUAAAAUCGAGGCCCCGCCUGCUAGCCACUGCAAUGGUAAGUGCCCUUACUCUUGAAUUCUAUUAUGGUAUUACCCCUGAGGCCCUGACUGAAUUUUCCCCUACUUUGAACAACAACCUUCCUAUCUGCAGCUACUUCUCCAACUACAGCUCCCCUCGGGAGCGAAGAACCAGCCACUCCAAGUACUUCAGGUAUGCGUUCUGAGCUCUGCAAUCUGAUUUGUAGUUGACAUUUGAUUUCCCUUCCUUCUGUGAACCAACUCUUCCGAACAAACUAUUCUCAAGGUGAAUCUGGAAGCGAGUCAGGAAGUGGUACGUCCAAUGGGAGCUCCAUGAAGGUUUCAAUGUCUUCGCUCUUCUUCUUUCUCUUAGCAGCCUCGUUUUUUUUCCAUGAGAUACUAAAAUCCGAGCUACCCGCCACUCUUAUAUAAUCAUUUCAUACAUAAGAUUGAACCAUUCAGUUACCUUGUAAGGCGAGUGAACGUUCCCGCAGCAUACUAUUUGUCUCUUUUAGAAUCAUUUGAAAGACUAGAAGUUCCACAUGCACAAGAAGACAUAUUUCAAGUUUUUUUCCCCAGAGUAUGCUUAUUCCUCUUAUUUCAGCAACGAUGGAGUAUUUCUGCUCCAGAAUUAGCAGAUAAUGACUGAUGUGCAGAGUUUCUUAAUUAUUCACCAAUGACGACAAUGAGAAUUGAGUAUGACUAACCUUUACCUACAAAGUAAUUUACCUCGAUGAGCAGCGUUUCAUAGUUGUUGACCUUGAUGUGCUGAAAGUUAUAUCUACACAAACAAGAAAGAUAGAUAAAAACCAGUCAAGUAAAAUCAUCACUAUACCACCCAAAGCAACCUUAUUAAAGACGAGAAACUACAAAUCCAAAGAGUAAAGGUGUAUUAUCAAAGAAACCCACCUGAGGUCAUGUUAACAAAGAUCUGUCCUGAAUGAUAACUUCACAUGAGAGGCAAUAUAUUCCACAUUUCGUCAUUUUGACGACAGUCUGAUAUAUCUGACCUUGUUGCAAAAAAACAAUGAAUUGGGAUGAGCUAUAGUUGUGUAUGUUGAUGUUCAGAGUCAUGUUAUCAGAUCAAUGAAUACGUUUGAUAAAUAGGAGCCACUGGACAGUUUGGUAAACAGUAAAUGUAAACUUAAGAACAAUAAAAACAAUAAUUGACUUUUGGACCACAUUCUGGUCCACUUUUGCAGCAGCUAUAUCUACCAAAUAGUAGUUCUUCCGAAUAUGCAAAGAACAGGGAACUACGUCCUGCUAUUCAUAUCAGAUCAUGUAGGAAGUGAAUCAAAGUCGAAAAUUUGAGACCUCAAGAAGUUCAACUUCAGCAGUAGUUGGAAUUAAAACCUAUGCACUACUGGCUACAGAGGAUUUCUUUGGAUGAAGCAUGGAUUAUUAACAUUCAUUUCGUAACGAGAUUGAUCACUGAAAUCUAAUUCUCGCUUCUCGCUUCCCAAGACUGUUAUUCCCCAUUUAAUAUCCAUAAGAUGCUUUGUCCAACCAUCAUAGACUGGCAUCAGGCAAAGGAGUUGCCCGUAUAUAAUAUUUUCAACUGAAUUCUGAGUUACAGGAACAAAUCUACCCAGCAAUCAUAUUCUCAAGAAAACAUUUGGAAGGAGAAAUCAAUUGGUACAUUUUCAUGUUGAUGAAUGCACACUUGAAAUAAAAUUAAUUGUUUCCCACUGAUCCUGGACGGGGAAAACCACAACCACCCAGAAACAAGAGCUGCAGAUCUCAAUAUUCCAGUAAGUUUACAAAGGUACGAACUUUCGAAAUUGUGCACAAUUCAAGAAUGUGAUCUUGAUCGCACAAAUUCUUCUAGUCUGUUCCACACCUCCAAAGCAGCUGUCCGGUCUUGAUGCCGCUUGUUCUUGCUUAUCUGCAUUUUCAAAUUCCAAGUCUCACAAUAAGUCGGACAAGAAAAGGGACAAGUAAUAAUGCAGGCUUGAGGAAGAUGGCUCACCGAUACAAUCUUUACAUUCCAUUGCUUAACAGUUUUUGCAGACUCAAUGCUGUCAUCUUCAAACCGCACGAAGAACCCAACAACUACAUUCCGUAAAUAAGUAAGCAACAGCCAAUUCAAUAUGCCAAAUUCAUUGGAACUUAGGAGAAGUCACACAGAUAUACUUACUCUUAUUAAAUAUCUCUAGAUGAUCCUUGAAAGGCCAAUCCUUGAACUGCCACUCCUUCCCCAACACGAAAACAGCCACAACCCGGUCCCAAUCAUCAGACUUAAGAGAAGAAGGUUUAUCCCUAACCUCAUACGCAGUCAUCACCCUAUUCCUAUCAGUACUAAACUUCUUCUGCACAGUCACACACUCCGGCUUCGCCCCUUUCAUUUGCUUCACCUUCACAUCAGUAGGUACGUAUACUCCAUCCUCCAGAAACUCCUUCACAUUGUAAAUAGUAAUCAACGUCUGGAAUGCGCUAGGCACCAAAAUGAUAGGCACUCCUUCCCCAGUUUUCCCUCUGAGCUUCGGCAUAUCAUCACCAUAUCCACCCCCUCCUCUGUCAUCACCUCCCAUCAAUCUACUCUUGGACGACACCAAUCCAUCUUUCCUCUGUUGCGAUUCAAUCCUCUGCCUUUCCUCCUCCCUCUUAGUAGAAGACACCAACACGCUGUAGAAAUCCUUGUUCUUACACUCCAAUAACGACUCCCUAUCCUUCAACGGCUUCUCCGUCGAGUAGAUCAGAGAAAGAUAAUCCACCGGUUUACCAUUCCCGGCAGUAUACACGGCGUCGUUGACGGAAUCAACAAGCGCUCCUUCCUCGGGACGGUAAUAGUCGUGACCACCCAGAUUUCUGUCCAAAGUAGGGUUUUGUUCUUGCUGAAGAAGCUGCGGCUGAGGCGGGAAGACAACGGCAUCGGAGUUGGAGAGCUUCCCGGUCAAGUAAUCGAGGAGGGGCGUGCUCUCGACCUCUCGACGAAAGUGAUUGCGGGGAUUCCGAGGGCGCGGCAGCUCUGGAAGUAGUCGGUGUGCUUGAGCUGGGCGUUCUGGAUGUAAUAAACGAGCGUUUCCAAUGUGAAGAGGUUUCCUUUGUUGGAUCGGUAUGCAGUUUCGGCGGAGCAAGGGAAUGAGUAGUCGGAGCCGAAUCGGAACUCGUUGUUCACUCUGACGAUCUUGUCCAGGUCGCCGCGCAUGGUGUAUUCACGGAGGACUGAAAGCGGAUCCAUAGGCUGAGCUUAUGAAUAAUUUAGUAAAUUAUGAGAUAGGAGUUGGGCUGGAGAUGUAGCCGCCGGCGAGGUUGUCAGUAUGCUAACGGCUUAAUCGUUGUCGGAAUAAGUCGGCCGUUGGCGUGAUUGUGGUUGGCUAAUCGCGCGAGUUGGGGUGUGGCGUUGAAUUUAGAAGAUGAGGACAGCUACUAACUUAUGAGGAAAUAGGUUUGGGCUGAUUUGUUGUUUUGGCCCAUUGUUGGUGAAAAUGUUCCCCGUCAGAAACUCCAUAUUACCUUAUUCUUAUUACAUAAUUGUAUUCAUUAAACAAAUAGAGUAACCGAUUUAUUGUCUACACAAAACUGUAGGGACUCAAAAAGAUAUUUACCCUAAAAGGAAGUCCAAAUUAAAUUAAUCAACCAGAGCUCUCUGAAGUCUGACCUUGCAAAUAACAAAAGGCUGCAGCAUCCAUCUGCUCUCUGCACUCUUCUGUGCUUAUAUAAACAAUCCCAUUUCCUUCCGGUGACUAUGGACCCAUCGAGAAUUACCCUCCGUCCAUUCAAACUCUCUGACGCGGAUGACUUCCUCAAAUUCGCCGGCGACGACAGGGUAACCCGGUACCUGAGAUGGAACUCCAUGACCUCAAGGGAAGAAGCGUUGACCCAUCUGGAAACAGUGACAAUCUCACAUCCAUGGCGCCGAUCCAUCUGCUUAGAUGACCGCUCAAUUGGGUACAUCUCGAUUUUCCCCGGGUCGGGCGACGAUCGGAGCCGGGCGAACGCUGCGUACGCUCUGGCGGUGGAGUACUGGGGGCAGGGGAUCGUCACGGCCGCCCUGAGGAUGGCCCUGUCCACCGUUUUUAGGGACCUUCCAGAGAUUGUGAGGCUUCAGGCGCUGGUGGAAGUGGACAACAGAGGUUCUCAGAGGGUACUGGAAAAAGUUGGGUUCUUGAAGGAAGGUUUGCUGAGGAAAUAUGGGUACAACAAAGGUGAGAUUAGGGAUCUUAUCGUUUACAGCUUCUUGUCGACUGAUGAAAUUGCUGUUGAAUGAAAAACUGUUUGAAUCUAACUUGAUCCUUUGAAGUCACUACAACGCUACUGAUUGCACUACUUUAUUUGUACUAUGUUUCAAUUUGCUUGAUAUCAAUUGAUGGUUAAGCGAGUUUGGGAACGAGUGCCGCAGAAAGUAAGUAGGCUAUAUGGAGUAGUGAACGGUGUGUGAACCGCUUCCAAUAGUGAGAGCGGUUGUUUGUUAUAGUAGUCCCGUGAUUCGGACCUCGUGAUGAUGUGUAGCGAUAUAGGUAUUGAUGCGCAGAUUUUACCCCGCUAUUAAAUACUCACUAAAUUGCUUUAGUGGAAUCGUAAAUUUCUCUAGGGUUUUUCUAAUUCUUUUACUCCAAUUGAUUUCCUAACUAAACCAAGUGACAGUUUAAGAUUGUUUUUUAGAUUGUUUCAAGUAACCAAUUAACAACUAAGGAUGUAAAUCAAAGGAAAACAAAUUCAAGAGAUUGAGUUUCAGGUAUGGAAUGAAGAUUGCUCGGAUUCGAAUCCACUAAAGCUAGCAAUGCAUGGAUGAAUGACAAGUUAUCUCGGUUAUUCAGGUUAUAAUGGUUUGGCAAUUUCCUAAUGUAGUCUUAGAUCACUCUCGCGCCUCCAAGGAUCUAUUUCGUCUAACCGUAGACUCCUCUCUCGAGCUAAUCUACACCUAAACAAAACGCAUUAAUAGUGUUCGAUGAAAUGCCACAACGAUAAACGUGCAAAAAACCUAAACGAUUCGCUCUUCUCUCGAGCUAACGAAUAGUCUAAGGUUCUUCAUAAGCGACCUAUCAAUCUAUGUUCCUCUCGGACCCACAAAUCAAUAUCGAUAGCUCAAUCAAGAUGAUCAGACAAGAAUGAAUUUGAAAUUAGGUUUUAGGAAGAACGCAUCAUAAGUCUGUAUAAACCUCGAUAACAAAUCAAAUCAUCCAUAUAAAAGCUUAGCUAAAGCUUCAUCUCGUCCGAACAAAUCAAAUCAUCUCGUCCCAACCCUAUUCCAGAAUAGAUCGGCAGAUCGAUCACGCCUUAUGGGUUGGGAGUACUCCAUGGGUUCGAUGAGUGAUGUGCCAGAGUACGCUUAAGUACAUUGUAGCAUGAUCAAUAGGCCAACAAAUGAUUAGAGAUAGAAAAGUUAUACACACCUAAGGGCAUCUGAAGCCCAAAACUAUCUAGAUAUUCCAUUGCGUGAUUGUCUUUCCUGAUAAAUAUGAAUAAACUCGAUUUCGUGAAUCUCGCUUUCAUUAAGAGAAUAUUGGUGAGCUCCCUUCUCACGACAAUAUCAAAUGAACUGCACAAUAAAAUUCGAGUUGAACCAGUACUUUGCAAUGACUGUUCUCCCAAACUAUUUUUAAGGCACUAGGCGCUAAUAAAGGCCCUUUUAGGUGUGGGCAGAAGCCAUCAUGAACUCUGACCAGUAGGAAGAAGAGGGCGAAGAUCAAGUAGCUCCUUCAAAUUUAAUCAUUAUGGUUCUCUCCCACAGAGAAUGCUUGGGCAAUAGUCCUCAUCGUGAUAGAUCGGCUUGCUCGGUUGAUCAAACACAUGCUGAAGCCAUCAAAGUACAAGCCGCACUAUCUCAAAUAAAGCCUUCUAUGGCCGCGGCUGCUUGACCCAACUCCAGAUUGCCCAACGUGAACAAUCUUUGGUAGUAACUAGCUCAGUCCAGGUUUGAGACUUGUUUUCCUUUGUUCUCUGUUUCAGACAUAGCUCCUUGCUAGCCUCCAAACUUCUUCGCUUCGGUUGGAUUUCAGUGAACUAUGAUGCUCUGAAUUUGGAAUUUGACCCUAACUUCAAAUACUGACUGGGAUCCUUCACUCAACAAACUGAAUGACCAAACUAUAUGAACAGUUUCCCAAUUGCUAUAAACUGAUCUCAGUUCAACAUAUACCAAGAAUUAGCCACAAAAUGACACGGGCAAUAGCACCUUUGCUGCACAUUAGCCUAGUGAAUGCCAAAAUUACAGGCUUCAGAAAAAUAACAAUGUUACAGGAACAAUCAAUUUUGAAAGCUUUCAAGGACUUGUACGAAUAUUUUCAGUUUGGUCUUCAAAUACAAGCAUCAUCCGUCUUCACAAUUGCGCCCCAGGAUCCUCCCUUUUCCUAGGUUUUUUCUCAAAUUCAAAGCCGAAGAAUUCCCUCAUAAUAGCUUUGGAGGUCCUUCCAAAACCGUUGGCCACCUUUCCCAUACGCCUCAGCUUCUUCCUCUCCCAAUUUAUCUGAUCAAUCCUGCACGUUACUGUUCUCAACAAUCCUUCUCCCAUCCUCCCUGAUUUCAUGUUUGCUAGUUCAGCAUGCUCUUUCUCAAGUUGUUGGUAGAGAUUUUGCACAUAUUUCUUCUGCCGAACAAGCUGUUCCUCCGCAGUCUUGUAUUCAAGUUCCUGAGCAUCUCUUAGUGCAUGGAGCACAACGUGGAUCUCGGAAUCAAGUGCCAGAAUUUCAGCACUGUAAUCAGGAGACUUGGACGCCAAAUCUGGUAAAUUUACCCUUUUGUUCUAUGUCAGAUAUCUGAAAAAGAUAAAGCAGAAGAACCAUGAAUGAUGUAUCAAACAGAAUUUACCAUAGCAAAUAGCUGGUGCUUCUUCUUCAUCAACUUUCCAUACAUCUUCAAGGGUAGUACAAUGCUUGAGCUGGAUGUUAGUAUUGAAUUGUUAAUGCAUGAAAAAAAACGGGAGACCUAUAAAGUAUAAACCCUUUUUAGCCAAGAGAAAGUUCUAGAUUUUACCCUUGUUGCAGCUGUUUCGAUGCGUUUCAGCAAAUUCCCAGCAUUGUUUCUCCGAGUUCCACGCAAAAUACAGAUGCCAAGAUUUAGAAGUUUCUGUAUUUCCUCUCGGGAAUCCAUUGACUUGCAAGUUUGUAAAAGCUUCAGAGCAUGUGGAACAAGAUCAGUCUUUGCAUCACAACGUCGGCAAAAGUACUCAGCAUCAAGACUGAUGCUUCCUCCAACUGUUCCCGCCAUGUAAAUCCUCAGAGCACAUUCAAGGUGUGCUACAUGAGUACAGAAGCAGCCUUCAGUUACUACGGCACCACACUUGACAUAACUGUAACCACCAUGUGCAGGACUAACGGUUUUACAGCAGAGAAUACAGCAACAAUCACGACAAAAGCCGGGCUCGUCGCAGCAAAUAUCACAAGGUACUGCAGCUAAAGGUUCAAUUUCUGCAGCCUCCUCGAGACUGCUGCAAAUCUCAUUUCCUGCCUUGCAUCUCCCAUCGUUAGACUGGGGAUCAACGGGCUGCCCUAAAGUGACUGCAGGAAGCACAUGGAAGGGACUGCUAUCAAGGUCUUCUGUAGAAGCACUCCUGUUCUUAAAUCCUGCAAAUACAAUAAUCACAAAAAGAUUAAGACUUGAUCGCCAUAUUACAAGGAAGGCAGAAGAAUUUUCUGAUUCCAGUAGCUUAUUAAACAGUAAUAUCCACUUUAAAGGUUUACCAUACUAUGGUGUAAUGGAACCAAUCAUAACAACAGAACUUAAGAACUUUCAUGGACCAUCUAUCAUGUGAAACUGAGACAUGUUUGUGCAACAAAUAAUGAUCAUUUUCUAAAUUUCAUUACAGUUAAGUGGCCUAACAUCAAUCCACAUUCCUUUCGUAACUUCUCUUUUCAAUAAUUAUACAGUCACUCAACAGUAAUUUUGUCUUGCAAUGUCAAGUUCCUUAAUACGAGCCAGCCAAAACCACGAGAACAAGCCAUACCAUUAGAAACACACGUCAGAGAGAAGAAAAUAAACGUUACCACAAACCAUUGUCUAUUUGGCUUCAAUUGGAGCCUCUUUAGUAUCUAUGUACUUGUAAUUCCUCUUCAACUAUUUUCAUAUUUGGAAAAGACUUGAGAUGAAUAUCCCCAAUAAAGUAAAACGGGGUCAUGCUUAAAACCAUUUCAGGACUUGAAGGUAUGCAUUUGUGCAUGCUUACACAAACGGCACCAUUAAAGUUGAAGACACUCCCAAAGCACAAACGAAGGCUAUCAUAAUGGGAUUGCCUAUUAAGCAUUAACAAUAAACUUAAUAUAUAGAUACCAAAACAGCGUGUUACUAUUCGAUAUAGGGUUUAUUCCCCUCUAACAAGUACCAAUGGACUUAAGGUACACCCAAAGUCAAAUUCAUACUUGCCCACCAAGUUUAUUCAAAAAGACGAAGUAUAUUCCUAUGUACUAUUGUUGAAGGGAAAACUUCACCUCCAAUGAAGAUCAAAGGCAUCAUAUCAUUCCUACAUGGAAGAAAAACAAGGCACUACUUUUGGUUCACAUGUAAUAAGCUCACAGUCUUUUGGCUAGAUUGACAACCAUUCAUCUUAGAACACAUUGAAAAAACUGCAGUGAAGGGGGAAAAUUCUAGUACAUUAUAAUAGUGAGCGCAACAAUAACAGGACACACUAUAAGCAUAACUACAUGAAUAGAAAACUCACUUUUCAUGGAGGCAUGGUGAGAAGGGAUCCUCCAGACAAAUGAAGCAAAGAAGGCCUUGAUAUCCGCACCAGGGAAAUGCUUUUCAAUGAACAUCUGCACCGCGAGCUUGCUCGCAAAACCGUUCUUUACACGACUCGAAACAGAAGGAAGAUGGUGGAGACUUUUCGGGAGGUAUAGAAAUCUAUCCACGUGAUACCCAGAGAAACUCUGGCGGUUCCCCACUUUCCAACCCCACGUGUCUCCAGGAUUUGGCCAAUUCUCAGGAGCAUAAGGCCAACCUUCGCCAGACUCAUAACCUGGAACUACUCUUAGACGGAAAGGGAUUUCCUUAAGCGUACUACAUCCAUUGCUUUCCUCAGUUUUGUUUGGUUUCUUCCCCAUGAAACUCAGCUGACCUUCGGCUCACGUAACAAGAAAAAAGGCCAGGUUAACAUAAAACAAUUAUGUACAAUCUGUACAAGCACAAUAAUGCACAGAGGAAAAAGGAGAAGAGGCAUCAUGCCUCCCUCAAACACAUCCAAUCAUCAGAUUCACAUAAACUAUUAAUGAAUAAUAAAAGACCAAUCUGAACUGUCUCCCAACAACUUGAGUAAUUGGGAUGCAACAGUGUAUGACAUGGUACCAGAGACUUUAAUGACCAAGAGGUCUUGUUUCGAACUCUCUUAACCCACAAUCCGUGCACAUGACUGAUUGAAGCAUUGCAAAUCUGAACUCUUCUCAGAACUGCCGUUUGAUAAGGCUAAGGCGUGUCAAUGAAUAAUAUAAAAUCCAAUCUAAACCAUCUGCCAACAACCCUGAAUUAUUGGGAUGCAACAAUUUAUGAAAUAGAUUAGCUACCAACCAAAAUUGAAAAAAGCUAAACACAACCAAUUCCAAAUCAGAAUAACAAGUAUGCAACUGCACUUGAAGAUCAGCAACACAUCAAAACCGCCAGGAGAAUUUACUCUUCAUGAAACAGCACUCCCAUAACCUUAACAAGAACUAUGAGUUAAGAGCCAUUUAUUUGUAACCCAAUAUUAACAACACUACACACCAUCAAUAACUGUAGACCAGUCCAGCGCAAACAUGCAAUGAGAAUAAGUAAUUUAGAAUAAAAGAGUAAGGUAGUCGGAGCCUCACCGGAAUCCUUCGGAUCGAGCGGAUGGAAAGGGAGAGAUUAGGGUUCCGGAACUACGGUAGGGUAUGUCUUCCGGAUGCCGGCGAAGAGUGAAAAGUGUCAGAUUUCCAAGUGCCUUGAUCCUUGAAGCAGGCCAGUCACGUUGAAGUCAAUUGAAAUUUGACUGGCCUAAAUCUUCGGUUGAAUCUUUAAAUACAGGAUCCGGAUGGUCAGUGGCUCGGCUUAAAUGGGGAUGUGAGAAUUGAGAUUAUCGAACAUUAGGAAGAAAAUCGGAAAUUUAAUUUUGGAAAUUCACUUAUAAGUUUCGCUUCGUAAAGCGGUUAGUAAUUAGGUAUUUGAGCGGAGGUCCUUUGGCAGUAGUAAAAGUUAAACAAUGCACGAUGAAAGUCCUCGACAGUGAUUGAAGUACAAUGAGUUGAUGGUCCGUUGGCGGAGGCAUAAGUCCAACGACAUCAAUGGGAUUCCAAUAACAAUGGUGGAAGUUUUGGCGAAAGCGGACGAAUUUUACUCGGUGCAUGUGAAGGUCCGACUGCAAAGGAGUUCCGACAAUGGCUGAAGUACGGCCGAAGGGACAUAUGUUUGGUCAGUGAUAGUGGAAGUUGUUGUGAUCUUCAUUAAUUUUGUUACCUUAACAAGUUUCAGGAAUAGGUCUUAAUCAAAAUCACAAAUUAAAUCGAGUCGAUCUACCUCCAAAAUGUAAAAUCAUACAAUGAGAACAAACUCAUUGCAGGUAGAAAACUGACACGUCCCUGCUAUUAGCUCCGGCUUUGAGUUCUUCAUUGGAUUGCCGAGGUUCGAAAGACAGUAAGUAAAAUCGAGAUAGUUGUCUGAGAAUAUCAUGACACACAAAGAAGCUAUGAUUGACUAGCGGAGCUGAACCUGGCAAUGGCAUUGUUAUAAACACCAAUGGUUCGGUUAUCCAUACCAAUAGUACUGCGAGGCCGAGUCGUAUUACUCUUAGACACCGCAAGGACUGUCCUUGCGGCUUUUGCCUGAAACUUAGGAAUCAAGAUAUUAGUCUUGGGGUACACUACAUAGGACUCGGAAAAAUAACCAACAAGAGGAUUCAAAGUCACAGUCAAUGGCUAAAUUAAUUGAAUGCUACACCUACGAAUUAUUAUCAAACGGCCCUUGAAUCCUACAGCUCGUCUCCCCAUUAAAGGAAUAAUCCCUGAAAGGGUGGUGGAAUAAGCGAGAACCCUUGCAAAGGUGCAAACUUGGAACGGAUUUCCGCUUCCCGCUUCACUGCAUUGUUCAUCGUCAAAUCCCAUUCAGGGAUCUUCGAGUUGGAAUUCUGAAUCUCAUGCACCACAUUCGGAAUAGCAUUCGCCGCCAUUUUCUGAGCAUAGUUCACCUCUACCUUAGCAGCUUUGUUAGAUUCCACUGCACGGAUCAGCUCUCCUCUCUGCGCUUGAAGUCUGGCGAUUUCCUUAUUAAUUUCAUCUACGGUCGACAAGUUGGCAUUUAUCUGGCCCUGAAGUUGGUCCGUUUUCUCCUUCAGUUUGCUAUACUCGCUCUUGAGAGUAGCCACCUUGGAUUUGUUCGACUCAAGCAUGGCGAACUCCCUGUCAACUUGGUCAAUGAUUUCCCUACUCUGUAGAAAAACCUCCCUCAAAGAUGGAAUUUCUUCAAUCAGCUUCAGUUUGACAGUAUGUUCAGCAGUCAGGCGAGGAUCGGUCAGAAGUUUUGUCGCUAGAGGUGCAAGUUCGGAGAAAUCUCUCGACAAAACCAGUGUAGGAAGUCCAUAACGAGCAAGGAAGAAAGCCUAUGACGAUAUUUUCGUCAUCUGCUACAAGAGACUGCAUAAUUGUACCCUGAGAAGUAACAGACUCGGACAAGGGCUGAGAGAUGAUGUCCUCUAGAGAAUCAAGAUAGUUGUCAAAGUCCACUGGGAUUUCGAUGUUGAUGAGGAAACCACGUUUUUCUCAUUUGUUCUCUGCUUCGGCGUGGAUGAUUUUGCAGCACUGCGGUGUCGUUUUUGCCUUGGUGAACGUGGUGAGAGUGGGGAUGGUGGAGUAUGUGCUUUUGACUUUCUUUUCCGCAAACGAGAGGCUUCUCCUUCUACUUGACCUUCCUCAUUUGUACCGUGCAAUGACCUUGGGGAAGAAAUCGAGAUGGCUUCUGCUGCAAUACACAGAAGGACAUUUCCUAAUCAAAUGAAUAAACUGCAGCCAUGAGCGGCCACAAAAUUAAGUUGAAGUGACGUCAUGCAGACUUCAUUGAGAGUAUAUACAUACACCAUCUCUUCAUGCUACAAAUGUAUACUUAUUCAAAAUAACAACUCCACCCUCCCUUGCAUGUAAGCACAGGCUCCUCGAGCAACAGAUACAUGUAAAGGAAAUUUUGGGACUGUUUCAUUCCUCAGUGGAAAAUGUUCCCGAAACAAAGACGGGGAAAUUGAGCGUAAUGGUGGCUAUAACUUCGUUGGAGAUACUCUAAUGAUAAUAGGAUAGGUACAUGUCUCGACCAAUUUAUAACAACGUACACUAAGCUUCUCAGAUAACAACAGUUCCCAAUUUGAAAUCUCACCGCUUUCUUCCGUUGCUAAUAGUUCAGGGGAAUGCUUUCACUACACAGAAUUCAAGAUAGAUUCCACGACGUCCCAAUUUACUCUAAUUAUGCAAAUACCAGUAUUAAAUUUGAACCUCCGGCAAUUAACAUUAGCAGUCAUACUAAAAGGCUUAGGAUAAAGUGAGUACGAAACAUAGAAACACAGAGAGACCUACAGUUUCAGAAGCUACGAUACUAUUCGUUCAAUGCAGCAGAUGAUAACAAUCGGCCAUUGCAAAAAACGAGCUAACAGAAUUUCGAAAAAAUGAACCAAAAACUGACCUUUGAAAGGGGAAUCCAUCUUUGCAGGGAUCUUCCAAGAGAACGAGGAGAAAAGGCAUCAAGAUUAGCAUCUGGAAAGACCGUCUUGAUGUAAGUGAUAACAGCAGUCUUGCUCGGAAACGGAAAUUUUAGUCCCACUACUUUUGGGAAAUGUUUCGGAGGAUACAAAGCCCUAUCCUGGAACACUCUGUGACUUGUGAUCGUCCUCCCUACCUUCCAAGUCCAAUUGUCACCUGGAUUCGGCCAAUUGGCAGGAGCAUAUGGAAAGCCUUCACCUGAUUCACUAACACUGACUGGCCUAAGCUCACCCAACCGAUCACCCGGAGGGGGAGUACUACCCAUGCUCAUUGUUCUCGCUCUCGUUCACGACAUCUCCGCCGUUCAACUGACUAACCACGUUAUCAAUAAUUCCAUUCUUAUCAUCUUCUUCAGGCACAAAUCCAUUCACCGUUAUUUUCUUAUCAUCCUCUUGAGGCACACCAUUUCCAGCAAAUGGAUUAUUACUCCCCACAAUUUGUUCAUUCUGGUGACCAUAAGAUGGCUGACCAUAGCAUCUGUUAUUUAUUUCUCACAAAGAAACAGACUUUGUCAGCAAUAUACUGAAUUACUGAUAAUGCUGUAAAACGAGUCGUUAUAACACACUCAUUCGUCUAGAAAUGGCCUCAUCAACUUGCCAAAUUAUGCUGCGAAAUGCUUGUUAGAAUUCAGAAUCAGUAACUACGACUACGAUACAACACAAAAGCCAAUAUCUUUAUAUAUACCCCACCCUCCAUUCGCCAUAUAGGGAACCAAUAUGACCAUAUGAAAUACAAAGCGUAACGUAAAAGCGCGAACGGGGAAAACUUACUCGUCGAUGGGCUCCUGGUGUAAAUCCCAUGGAGCGAUGAAGUGGCCCGACAUAGCAACAGAAGUCCUCUCUGAACGAGGAAUAGCCAGGGGGGGGGGGGGGGGGGGGGUGGGGUUUGUAUUUGAAAAAAACACACAGCACAAUGCGACAAUUGAAAGAGAGAGGACAGAGAGAAACCGAGUUGUGCUAUAGGUGCCAGAUUCGGAUUGGAAGAGCUCUGCGAGUUGAAUGUUGGACAAGGGUGAAAUGGUAAAGUUGAAAGUUACCUCCUUUUACAUUUUCAUCGGACAGCGGUUUAAUGUGAAAAGGUUGGAAUCUAACGGCUCCCGAUUUUGUGUCACGGUUGAAUUUAUUGUGCGGAUAUUGCCGUGUCAAAUUAAUUUCGUACUCUGUGGGAAAAGAAACAAAUAAAUGUGCACUCUCUGGUCUGCGGAACAGACACAACUGCAACUGGAAAAAAGGCUACUCAUCUGCAGUUUAUCUGUUAUGUUUUGCUUCUGGGAGUCCAGUUCCAAGUCUAAGUCAUUGCAUUCAAAGUUCAAACACCGAUGCUUCUCGAACUGGAACGAUAUACUUGGAACCUCAUCCAUAAUGAUGCUCAUAGUUUCGAUCCAUAUCUAUGGUGAUAUAACUUAGUUUGUGGCACAGUGGACUAAGAAUCCAACCAUAACAAAUGAACAUAUAUAAGUUAUUAUCUUAUAUCUUGUACAUUGCCGAAAAAGUCUAAUCCGACAAAACAAAUUGUGAUCCGUAAGGUAUCCAACCCGAACAAAUACAAGGCAGGUUUAGGAGGCGAAGAAUGAGGUUGACUCCAAUGACCCAAGUGUACAUUUGUCUUUCUAAGUUCUUUGUUUGUAGCCAUUUGGCCUCCAUACGAUAAGAUGAAAGACAACAACCUCAAAUGAACAUUAACACACCCCCCCCCCCCCACCACUUCCCCCCCCCCACACCUUCCCUCUCCACACAUAUCCCCUCGUGGGACGACCAACUCGGAAUCCUUCAUACUCUCGCACACUCUCAAGUGUGAGCUUCUUUUUCGUAUCGAAAUCAAACCUGGGAAGAUCAGCAGCUGUGGCAAGGUAACCGUAGAGAACCUUGGUUUUAUCCCCGUUGCGAUCCACCUUCACAAGGUCUGGAUUCCUAUCGUCGCUUUUCCCUCCCAUUGCUGCUUGUACACGUUCCCAUGCAUUGCGUCCGCAAUUUUGUUUCGCAAAGUGACCUGACAGCCCAACAGCUUCUCUUAGGCCAGGCGUGUCGCCCGCAAACUUUACAUGAGUUGUUCCUUGAUGCCCUUCUCUACCAUACAUUGAUUUCGACUUGCCCCCGGGAAAUCCAAGAGCUGAAAGCCACAUCAUAGCAAACAAAUUUAGACAAAACACUCUUGAGCUUACUUGUAGUAACCAACAUAAGAAAACAUAAUAUAUACUUCACACACAGGAAGGAACCAUGACAACUGGAAAAGGAACGAAGGCGAUCAAUGCUAGCUGUCUUCCAAACGGGGAGAUGAUUAGGUGAGGACCUGAGGACCGGUCCAAGUGUUUUCUCUGCCUAAAGUAUCAAACCCCUAAUUGAUAGCUACAGCAUAGUAGAUACUGGACAUAUGAUCGGAACAAUCUAAGAAACCAAUUAGUAAUAUGUUCGACCAUGCUUCAGUGUCAGACAUGUAUAACAAAGAGAAAACCAUGGUUGCACCAUGUAAUGACAGGAAAACUGUGGUUGCACCCCCGGCUCUUCUUCACUGAGAGAAGGCAAAGUACAAAAGAAGUCCGAACCCUUCACUUCUAAGAGAAUAUACAUAUCUUGUUCCUACUGAAAUCCAUUCUAUGACAUUGUACCAAAAUGUCAGAUCCUAGUUCCGAUCCAGGGACUUGUGGGUGAUGAGCUCAGCAGGCUUGGACCUCUACCUAACAUAGCCGCUUCAUCCACCCUACCAGACAUGUUCACCCCAUGAUCCAAAAUAUUGACAAUUCUUAACUAGGACCGUAAUAAACUCAGAUGAGCAACAGACGGAAUCAUAAGUGAAAUUUACAAAGCUAAACCCAGGAACUAAGGUCUUACAAGAAAAUAUUUCUGUAUAUUGGAAUGACAGCACAAUCAUGACCCAAUGUAGGUCCUAAAUAUAGCAGCUAAUGUCGAAGUUCAGACAUAGUUCUAGCCCACUGAGAAAGAAGGGUCCAGGGCCAAGAAAGAUAGGAAGAAACAGAAUCUUUCGUUGCUGAAGAGGGGAAUGGGAAGAAACAGAUUCUUUCUUUGCUGAAGAGGGAAACUGGGAUAGAGUACAGGAAAACUAGUCAAAACCACAGCCCCGUAGCUAAAGAAGAAGACCAACUACUCAGUAACUGUUACUAAUUCUCAAGAAAAAGAAUGUCAAAAGGCAAAAUAAUGAUUCUCAGCUGUUGGAACUUGGAAACAUGCCAACAGCUUGACCUGCCUCUUCUCCUCCAAAAGAAUAACAAAGAUCGAACCAAACUGGAGGACAUUGCAAUUCAAACCAGCGGCAAUUCUAUGCUUUAACAGUAAAAGUUACGUCAUAAGGGACAAGCAGUCGGGACCCUUUACUAAACCUAUCCUAACCAACGAUUCCUGAGGACGAAUUCAGCAGCAAACCAAGUUGUGAAACAAGCAAGAGGGAGGAAACCAGAACCGAACUACAUAAUCUUAUCCAUAGAAUUACUUGAACUCAUACCUAAAGGAACUAAAUAAAAGGAAGACAAGAAGAAGUCCUAACAGACAAAUCAAUAUAACUGUGAGUUACUUGUCGUUCUCAUAGUACUUCACUUUGGUGGCACCUGUUGACAAAAAUGGCCUGAUGUAAUAUAGUUCACUUUUAUGUAGGAGGCUUCAGAAUUGCUAAAGGAUGGAGAAAGCUCUUCCACAGAACUCUGUUGCAGUAAGAAACCCUUUCUGAUAGCACUGAGCCCCAUUGGGGUAAGCUUAUAUCGUAGAAGAGCUACCCAAUAAGAACUUAAGGAUUUUCACAAAGUAAUCCAUCAACAGGAUUGAAAGUCUAUAUAGAAUGAAUUUUCUACCAGCCAAAAGGUGUAAGAGUACUGCAGUCCCACAACCACACCCAUUCUUGACCCAGCCAGGAAAGCAAUCCUUAGGAGGAAUAUAAUUGACUCAAUCGCCUUCAAUCUUUUUAGGAAUUCCAGGGUUUGAUAUCUCGAACAUGUUCUAAAACAAACAAGAACGAUUAAAUGGAGGGGCGAGCUAUACCUCUUAUUUUGCUAUCCAUAGCUUUGUUUCCCAAACCUUCUAUGCGUCCCUCCUUACUCUUUCCUGUAGCAGUGUUAUGAAUAAUCACCACAGGUGGCCAGAUCAUCAAAUCAUCCUGGUUAGAUGCUGCUUCAUCGGCAGGCAGGAACUGGUACCCCCUUGAGCUAUCAGGUAUCUUCAUGAAGUUCCAUCCCAGUAAAACACAUAGGGCUUUGUGUAAACCCAAGUGGUCCACAAGAAAUUCAGCAUUUUCUGAGUUGUAUGUGUGCAUUAUAAGUGCAUGAACAUCUGGAAAAUCUUUCGACCUGUAUUUUGCAAUGUCAAGGGCAUUGAACGAUAACAAUUCAGGCAAUGAUCCCUCUUCAACACCAAACCAAAAUUGCCAUAGGCCCUACAGUAAGGACUACCUUAAAACAGAAAGACAAUCUAUACAACUAAAGAAAUGUUAGAUUCCUUUCCAUGCUAUACAUAACCAGUUUGUAUAUAGACAGGGUUGAAAACGAAAAUGGAAGUACAAUCAUCAUACACGAUGCUCCCUCUCUGUGAAACUAACAUGUACUUAUAAGUCUACUUCACAGGAUGGUAACUACAUCCUACACAGAAAUCAGCAUCCUACAUCAAUUUGAAGGCACACAGAUAGUAAAGCGCCCAGUCCAGCCCAACAAAACAUGCAAUAAGAUAUGACACGCAUUACAGCCAGGAAACAUCAAACCACAAGAUAUAAAAGCACGCCUACAGAUAAAUCUUACAGAGCUGGUCAAGAAAGUAUGGAGCUUUAUAGUUCUUAUUUGUUGCACUAAGAAUCUAAAACAACAGAAAACAUAUUUUGGUAAGAAUAAGAAGAAUAAAGGGAGUCAAUCCUAUGUGAUGAGCACAAGUGCACCGCAACUCAUUAGUUGCUGCACCAGAAAGGGAGCAAAAAAAAUGACAUAACAAUGUACAGUAACAGAAAUAGUUAACAUUUCUGUAAAGCCAAGCUUCUGUGAAAUAACAGUGAAGGAAGAUGAAGCAGUUAAAUUCUAUUGUCCAGUAAGCACUCGCCCGACUUCUCCGAAGAAGAGAAUCAAACAAUGAAACUAUACAGUAAGAGAAUUGAUAGGCAUUGUCAUGGCACAAAGCUUCUAUCAAAAUAGGAAUGAAGGAAGAGGAAGCAACUAUAUAGUAUAUUCUAUUUGAAGUCCCCAUUAUGCAGGACUUUCUCAGAGGUAACUGACCUACAUAUACCAGUUAAAACUAACGAGUAAGACUGUAAGAGAUUGCAAAGAAACAAACCAUACGGGAUCUAACUUAACAGAUAAGUGGAAAGAAUCAAAGCAUCCUUAUCUUCACCGCUAUUCUGUCACUAAUUGUCUCCAAUACCUUGAUGAAAUAAGGUGCUAAAUGACGGGGUCUGGUGUACCUAGCGUUUGUACCGCAAAAUGAAGUAUGUGCGUUAGGGUUUCUGUUUUGUGCCAGUUGCUGGAAAUUUCAGAAAACAGCGACAAGGAAGGGUUUAAGGGUUGCUUGUGAAUUGCCUUAAGAAGCUCUGAUAAUUCAGUUAAGGAGAAAAAGAAAAGGAAACAAAGAGGGAAUACACUAUAUAGUCUUACAAGUUUUACAAUGAAGAAGACUUGCAUUACAUGAUAAAACACCAGAUAAGGCAAGGCAAGUUACAGAGCAUCCCAAUCACCAAGUAUAGAAGCUUACAGUCGAUGACUGAUCAUAUACUAUACUGGAUACGAAAAUUUUGAUGGUGCUACAGUGCCUUGGCCAUGGAAAUAUGGCCAACAGAUUCAAUCAAGAAGCUGGUAUUGCUGUAGUUUUUUUCACUAUAGAAUUGUCUUAAUGAGUAUAGGCGAACUUCUGGAGAUUCCUACAGAAGUAGGAGCAUGAAAUCAAUUCAUUUCAAGUGUUGAUUUUUGACAUUUUGUUGCACUUCUACCAAAAAUUAUGCAGGUUCUUAUUUUUCUAUUUGUAGAAUGUUCGCGGAAUGAGAUUUCCUGAGGCACCCAUUGUCCAGUAACAAGUCCCUGCAUACUGCGUAGCAGACAAGAAAUGGCCGGCUAAAGUAGCAUGGAAGUAUUUAACUGAAAGACGAAAGCCACAUAAAUAGACAAACCCUGCACAACCAUAAAAUCAAGUCCAACAGUACACGAGAACCUGCUACUUUUGCCAGUGGAUCUGCUUACUGGGUAGCAGCAAAGUAAUGUCUAGUCGCAUAGACUUAAAACUAACAAUCAAUUAGAAAGGGAAACAUAACACACACCAUAAACUCGAAGGUCGUAGGUUGUCAAACAAUGAAGCUACAGUAUAAAAACAUACUGUUCCUUCCUCAGAAACACGUCGGACCGAAAAGUGAUCUUUUGAACAACUAUGGUAGCCAGGAGCUCCUGUCCUGACUGUCCCAGCCAUAAGCACAAACAAAGCUAUAGUAGUGAACGAAAGAACUCGGAACAGAUAAUCCUUCCUGAUGCCCUCAAGCAGUUAAGCUAUCAAAUUAAAAGUUAACCCACACCUAGCUCGUACAUUUCAGUACCCUAACAAACUCUAUGCACCAUAGCUCACAGUCACAGACCCAAACUUCAUGUAAAACUGCCAGAAGCUCUAUCCUUUCUCAAAGACAGUUCAUGCAGACACACAAUUAGCGUAGAAUCAGCAGCGAGAACGGGAAAAAAAAAGAGAACAAUGGGAACAAACCUGUUACAAGCGACACAAGGUAGCCGUGCAUGCUUGCCGUUCUCUAAAUAACGCCGUCUCUCAGCUUCAGUCUCAUUAAUUAACUUGGCAAAGUGCAGAAAAGCUUUCUUUAGCUUGCUCGGGUCAACUUGAAGGUGCUUAUGGAUCACUCCCGCGUUGUCACCACCAAUCCUCAUAUACUUCCCUGGCCUCAAGUCAUCACCUCUCCUAAACGGGCUACUCGGCCCGGCUCCAGCUGAGUGAAAUCCGUAAGGGUUGCUGUUUCCGUACUUGAACUCCUCCUCAACUCCUCCAGGAUGCUUCCGCUUCAUAGCAGCUCCGUGAUUCUGAUCUCGAAUUUGAUUACCAUCACGGAACCCUAAUCCUUCAGGACUCAUCGGCGGGAACCUCAUACCUCCACCGGACGGUACAUGACCCGGGGGAAUGAAACGUGGAGGAGGUAGGUUCUGGUAAUCCGGAGGAAGAGCGAAGUAGGAGCGAACGCUGCCGUCUGCUAGGACGAUGGACCGCCUCUCCAGCAUGUGAAAGCCAUAGGUGGGAGUAGGAGGAGGACCGAAAUCGGGAAACGGGAACGCUGCACCCGACAGCGGAGCAAGGGCGUCAGGAGCUGCGGCGGGUUUAGGGGAUGGCCCUUUAUUGAGCUUGGGCGAGGGCUUUGAAUUGGGAUGAGGUUUGGUGGGCUUAGUGUGGUUGGAUUUCGAUCCCGGCGGCUGAUUAUUGGCGUUAGCGGCGGAAGAGGAGGAUUCCCAACGAGAUUUGCGAUGCGACGCGGAAGCGGAGGAGGAAGGCUUGAAGGAAGAGGAUUUGAGCUGGGAGCUGCUGCUAGCCAUAUUAGCAGCACCGGAUCUUUGCCUGAUUUUGUGUCCGGCGUAUGAAUUAAGAAGGCAACAGCUGAAAGAAAAGAGGAGCGAGAGGAGGGAUCUCGUCUCCGAUCUUCAACGGGAAGAUAGCUCGGAAAAUUGAAAACCAACGACUUGACGGCGGAUGUAUAGCAUUUUUUGUCCGUACCUCACUGUUAAAUUACAAAUCAGUGCUCUAUUUAUCGAGUAUUACUUCUCCACCCUUUAAUUAUUAGAAAACUUCCAAACUUUAAUGCUUUGUAUGCAAUUGCAUUUGCGUUCUAACAAGUAACACAUCUCCAAAGCUCUAAAGUGCUAAAUUAUAGCAUCAGAAUUAGUUUAAUUUUUAGGUUAAAGUGUUAUAAAAUUAAAAUUGAGUUUCAAAUUUAGCCCAACCAAGUGUUAAAAUUAUUUUAUUAAUUUAAAAGUUUGUAUUUUUUUAGUCAAAAUAGACGGAGCGAAUUUGUAUUUACAAAAAAGAAAAUAAAUAAAUAUAACAUAAGUGUUCAUAAAUAAGGUGUAGUUGGAAUCGAACACCUAUAACAAAAGAUAAUAACGAUCCAAAUUGAGUAGCAAAGAAACUUUGGAUCGUGGGUUAUCUGCCCCACAAAACAAAAGAGUAGCCCAUAUAUUUUAGUUAGUGAUCGCUAUCCAACUAAGCCCAUCCUGAUAUGAGCCCAAUAUUACGUAAAGUACCCAAAUUAUCAGACUAUUAUGGGCCCUGCAUCACGCGUCUAAUACAACUACGCUGGUAAUGAGCCCAGAUCGAGACGGUUACCUCAAAACUCAUGUAUGCAUCACAGAACGUUAGGUUGAGGACGGCACGGAGAUUUAGCUUAACGGGUGUAGUUGUGUCACGGGUUGUAUUUAAAUGUAUUUGAAAGAAUGAAUCAAAGUUUGAUCAUUCAUAAUAACAUUGGAAGAGGAAUAAAACCUUAAUCUUGAUACCAUCUUCGACUGGAUUAUUCGACCAAUGAAUCAGAUACCAAAAUUAAUAAAAAAAUAAGCAUUUAAAUUGUACACUUUGAUAGAAAUGUAAUUUUUCGUUUUAUGUUCAAAGUUGAAACCUUUGAAAUCAUAACAAGAUGGAGUUUGAUUUGGGAGGUAGGGGCGUAAUUUUUUGAAUCUGAUUCAUAAAUAAUUUGGGCUUUUAAAUCUUCCAAAAUUAAUCAGAAGUAAUAUGAUCAUUUUUAUUGGACCAUAACCUAGUCAUUUUCGAUGAUGAUCAGACUAUCAUCUAUGGUCACUAGAAUGUUUCCCGAUGAAACUACCGGCGAUUCUGACAUAUGUUGACGAAAAUUUUUUUACCCACGUGAUCACUGUUUUCGGCCCUACGUUUCUGGAAAUUUUUUAUAUUUCUGGAAAAAAAUUCCAAAGACCGGGCAUACAACUUUCUACCGAGAGUUGUACGGAUCAUGCAAAUGUGUAUAUAUUUGUACAAACAUGUACAUAAGCGUAUACACAUUCGUAUGGCUUUUGUACAAAGUCUAAUACUAACUAAAAUACUAAUAUUAUAUUUAGUACAGUACUAUCAGUAAGUGCUUAAUAUAGUAUGAUACUUAUUACAGUGUUUAGUAUACACAUUUUUGUAGCGGUGGAAUGUUAAUUAUUGUCUCGUACUUUCAGUCGUUAGAUAAGAACUUUAUAUUGAACUGCAAAUUUUUUUAUGGAAUUUCUAAAUCCGAUCCAGAAGCCAUUUUGUUAACUCGAGAUUUCGACUCUAAUUAACAAGAUAGGCCAAUGAUUGGGAAACUGUGUGGUUGGAACUGAAUGGGGGAGGGUAGUCGGAUCAGGUUUGUUGGAGGGAAGGGUGCUAAAGGAGUAAAGGUGAAUGGUGGCAGAAAAUUGGCAGUAUCGCCGGCUAUUACACACAUAUCUCUCUCAAUAAUAAUAAUAAUAAUUAUUAUUAUUAUGUAUGCGGUAUAAGACGAGACGAUCGAACGGACACUUUCAAUAGUACGUAACGUAGCAUGAGAAUGUUUUUCAGCGGGAGAAUCAUCAUAUAUACUUUACCGGCCAGUAAGUCACGAGAGAAAUGAAUAGCGAGUGCAGAACGAUCGUCGUCACCAUGACUCUUCGUAAAUCUGGAUUCUGGACCUCCUUCUGUCUCAUCACUAAUGAAUGUACGUCUCAUUGACUUGGAAAAUAUAUGAGCACAAUUUGCGACGAAUUCAAAAUUUGUUAUGGUGACCAAAAUUUAACUUGACUACGGACAUGGUUAUUAUUUUAAGCAAAAUUUGAAAUGGGUUACUAUAUGUUGAGUUGUGUACUAUAUAUCCUAAUUGAAAUUGGGAAGACAAAAGGAGGACUUCCCUCCAGUUUGGUUGCUGUCCUUUACUGCUUUACAUAUUGAAGCUAUUAUUUUAUUUAUUUAUUAUGUUCAAAUCGGAUGUGCAAUCAUCAUCAACAAUGCUAACAUGAAGAGGUGAAGUCGUGAUCGAUUUUCCUGGGUGAUUUUGAAAACCUGCCUUCAAUUUCCAUCUCCUAUGGGUCGGAAGUUGUAAGAUCGUAUAUGUGUUGUUUCAUGGUAGACGUGAUGGGUUGUGGCGGAAUCAUGAUGGCGACAGCUUCAACAAUUGCGGCUAGAGUUUCUAUAUGGGUGGACUCUACACGAGAGUGCAACUAAACAACACUGCAACAAGAAUCCAAAAUGAAAACGAAAAGACUUCUCUUAUAAUGAUAUUCUUGUCACAUCUAUUUUUUACAAAAAAAAUGUCGAAAAAUUUAUAGUCUAUAGGCAAAGUAAUUGUUUUUGUUCUGAUAUAAUUUUUUACGAAGACAAAUAAAUAGCAAGUACACACCAAUUAAGAAUCAACCCAAAAAGUGAGAAUUACCGACAAUACUUUUAAGUGAUACUUAAGAGUCUUGCAUGCCACACAAUAGACGGCUCUAUUAACUGACUGCCGAACAAAUUAAAAUUAGAUCUCUAACAAGAAUGUGAGCAACUGACAAAUCUAGUACACGAAAUAUAAGAGCUGUGCAUUUCUUGAUGAGUUUACUUGUACAAAGGAACUUUGAUAAGUUUAUGAGAAUUUCCAAUUAAGGUUUGAAAAUGUCAGAUUUUGGCCGACAUUUUCUACAAUUGAUGAUCAACUGCUACUAUAGUCCAUAGAUGAUGAAGAAAACAAAUCAUUGAAGUGAAGUGGGGUUUGUUUUGAAUCUUAGUUGGAGGGACUGUAGUUGGAUUAAAAUGAUCGAUAAAUUGGAAAUAUGGCUGAAAUUCGAUUGUCUUUCAUGUUUCGAAAUGAGUUAUGAACCCAGCUAAUUGUUAGAAAAUUAAAUAGGGGGGAAUUGUUCGAUUCGGUGUUCAGUUUUCAUAUGGGUACCGAGCAAAGAUAGUCCAAUAAUUAGGUCUCGAAUGUGGAUAGGGCGGUCAACCGUACCACAUCCGAAAAUUGUUUAACCGAAUUGAACUUAAUUGUGGUUGCUGUUACAGAUUUCCAAAUUCAAAACCGGUUGAAUUCAAAAUCGAAUAACUGAUUCCGACUGGAUUUCCACCCGUAUAACUGGAUUAUAUAAAUGUGAGUAUGGUUCCAGAAACAAUAGUUGUUUCAAAAAUUCAAACACCUCUCCACUUAGAAAAACAAAAGUAGGUGGAAAAUGGUGGAAAAAAACUUUUUUACUUUCAAUUUUGGGCCACCAAACAACCACGUGGGCCGGGGGAAGGGAAGGAACAUGGGAAACCAUAACCCACAAAGAAAGUCCCCUCUUGCCAACAACACUUAGGUUACUUUUUCAAAACUCAAAUUUUACGGAUAAAUGAUUUAUCGUCAAAUUUGAUUUGUGCAAUGUGAAAAUAAUUCUUUCAAAAAAUAUUUUGUUUUCUAUUAAUUGUUGUUACCGGAUUUAGAGUGAGUGAAACAAAAUAAAAAUGAUGUUAUAAGUGAAGAAAGAGAAAAAGAGGGAAGGAAGAAAGAUGAAAAAAUCUAGUGAUAAUUAAAUUUGUCGUCACUUUAAAUAAGGGAAAAUGAAAACCAUCAUAUGGCGGAUUUAAAGCACAAGGAUAUUAAAGUCUUGCGGUUUUGGAUCGCGUUUUUUAAUCGAAAAAACACAGAUUCAUUUUUUGUUGAAAAUUAACGGCGUGACAUUUAUGGCGAAAAACUCAAUAUCUCGUGACAAAAAAUCUAUAUCGAAACCAGGAUGAUAUUUCUCGACAUAUGCCCAAACUUCAUAAAAUUUUAAAUUUUUUUAUUUCAUUUUAAAUGAUUAUUAAAAUUAAUCCAUCAAUUAAUUACUAGACCAAUCUGCAGGAUUAUGCUAGACUUGGGACUUUACCAAAGCAAAAAAUUGUAGACCAAUCUGCAGGGUAAUGCUAGACUUGGGACUUUAUUUGAGCAAAAUAUUGAACAAAGGUGGGGGAAAGAGAGAAGAAGAAUAUGCGGUGUGGGGGUAAUUUUGAAUAAUGAGGACAAAUGGAACAACUCUUUCACUAGGUUACAAAUAACAAAAAAAUACUUGAACUUUCGUUAUUAAUGUACAAAUGUUCUACAUCCAAACGGCUGAUAACAUAUUUCGCAAUAGUCAAUCAUUCAACAAUUCAUUUUCGUCACUCACCAUUUAUCGUUGUGAACGAAAAAAAAAA
rnacentral:lncRNA from 1 species